UACGAAGGGUGCAAGCGUUAAUCGGAAUUACUGGGCGUAAAGCGUGCGUAGGCGGUUUGUUAAGUCUGUUGUGAAAUCCCCGGGCUCAACCUGGGAAUGGCAAUGGAUACUGGCAAGCUAGAGUGUGUCAGAGGAUGGUGGAAUUCCCGGUGUAGCGGUGAAAUGCGUAGAGAUCGGGAGGAACAUCAGUGGCGAAGGCGGUCAUCUGGGACAACACUGACGCUGAGGCACGAAAGCGUGGGGAGCAAACAGG
rnacentral:rRNA from 1 species